UGCCAGCCGCCGCGGUAAUACGGAGGGUGCGAACGUUAAUCGGAAUUACUGGGCGUAAAGCGCGCGUAGGCGGAUUGGUAAGUGGGAUGUGAAAGCCCUGGGCUUAACCUGGGAACUGCAUUCCAAACUGCCGAUCUAGAGUAUGGUAGAGGGAGGUGGAAUUUCCUGUGUAGCGGUGAAAUGCGUAGAUAUAGGAAGGAACACCAGUGGCGAAGGCGGCCUCCUGGACCAAUACUGACGCUGAGGUGCGAAAGCGUGGGGAGCAAACAGGAUUAGAUC
rnacentral:rRNA from 1 species